rnacentral:rRNA from 1 species
CAGCCGCCGCGGGAAUACAGAGGGUGCGAGCGUUAAUCGGAUUUACUGGGCGUAAAGCGUGCGUAGGCGGCUUCUUAAGUCGGAUGUGAAAUCCCUGAGCUUAACUUAGGAAUUGCAUUCGAUACUGGUUAGCUAGAGUGUGGGAGAGGAUGGUAGAAUUCCAGGUGUAGCGGUGAAAUGCGUAGAGAUCUGGAGGAAUACCGAUGGCGAAGGCAGCCAUCUGGCCUAACACUGACGCUGAGGUACGAAAGCAUGGGGAGCAAACAGGAUUAGAUACCCCGGUAGUCCCUGUCUCUUAUAC